UACAGAGGUCUCAAGCGUUGUUCGGAUUCAUUGGGCGUAAAGAGCUCGUAGGCGGUUGGGCAAGUCACGUGUGAAAUCUCCACGCUCAACGUGGAGGCGCCACGUGAGACUGCCCUGACUCGAGUCCGGUAGGGGAGCGUGGAAUUCCCGGUGUAGCGGUGAAAUGCGCAGAGAUCGGGAGGAACACCCGUAGCGAAGGCGGCGCUCUGGGCCGGUACUGACGCUGAGGAGCGAAAGCGUGGGGAGCAAACAGG
rnacentral:rRNA from 1 species